ensembl:misc_RNA 7SK 7SK RNA
GGAUGUGAGGGUGAUCUGGCUGCGACAUCUGUCACCCCAUUGGUCGCUAGGGUUGAUGAGGCUGAUCUGGCUGGCUAGGCGGGUGCCCCCUUCCUCCCUCACCGCUCCUGUGCGUCCCUUGGUGGAGGAGGAACCUUCUCCCAUAGAGGAGGACCACUCUUCCGUCAAGGGUCUGUGAGUAGCUGCGCUCCCGCUAGAACCUCCAAACAAGCUCUCAGGACCCAGCCUCACCAGGGCCUUUCAUUUUCCAAAAGGAGGUCCAUUUGCAUUACUCAGAGUAAGAGCCCACAAGU